rnacentral:lncRNA from 1 species
AUGACUGACACUGCCAAAGCUGUUCCAAAUUUUGAAGAGAUGUUUGCUAGUAGAUUCACAGAAGAUGACGAGGAGUAUCAGGAAUACUUGAAACGCCCUCCUGAGUCCUCUCCAAUUGUUGAGGAAUGGAAUAGCAGAGCUGGUGGGAACCAAAGAAACAGAGACAAUCGGUUGCAAGAUAGCAGACAGUUCAGAGGCAGGGACGGCAGAUGGGGGUGGCCAAGUGACAAUCGAUCCAAUCAGUGGCGUGGACAAUCCUGCGGUAACAAUUACCCGCAACACAGACAAGAACCUUACUAUCCCGACCAAUAUGGACAUUAAGGUUACAACCAGCUGCCCCCUUAC